GGCGGCACGCCUAACACAUGCAAGUCGAACGAAGUAGCAAUACUUAGUGGCAGACGGGUGAGUAACAUGUGGGUAUCUGCCCUUUGGCCUGGAAUAACACGAGGAAACUUGUGCUAAUACCGGAUAAGUCUUUACGGAGAAAGCUUUAUGCACCAUUGGAUGGGCCCGCACUUGAUUAGUUUGUUGGUGGGGUAAUGGCCUACCAAGACUAUGAUCAAUAGCUGAUUUGAGAGGAUGAUCAGCCACAUUGGGACUGAGACACGGCCCAAACUCCUACGGGAGGCAGCAGUGGGGAAUCUUGCACAAUGGAGGAAACUCUGAUGCAGCGAUGCCGCGUGAGUGAAGAAGGCCCUUGGGUUGUAAAGCUCUUUCGUCGGGGAAGAAAAUGACUGUACCCGAAUAAGAAGGUCCGGCUAACUUCGUGCCAGCAGCCGCGGUAAUACGAAGGGACCUAGCGUAGUUCGGAAUUACUGGGCUUAAAGAGUUCGUAGGUGGUUGAAAAAGUUAGUGGUGAAAUCCCAGAGCUUAACUCUGGAACUGCCAUUAAAACUUUUCAGCUAGAGUAUGAUAGAGGAAAGCAGAAUUUCUAGUGUAGAGGUGAAAUUCGUAGAUAUUAGAAAGAAUACCAAUUGCGAAGGCAGCUUUCUGGAUCAUUACUGACACUGAGGAACGAAAGCAUGGGUAGCGAAGAGGAUUAGAUACCCUCGUAGUCCAUGCCGUAAACGAUGUGUGUUAGACGUUGGAAAUUUAUUUUCAGUGUCGCAGGGAAACCGAUAAACACACCGCCUGGGGAGUACGACCGCAAGGUUAAAACUCAAAUGAAUUGACGGGGACCCGCACAAGUAGUGGAGCAUGUGGUUUAAUUCGAAGAUACGCGCAGAACCUUACCAACACUUGACAUGUUCGUCGCGACUCUAAGAGAUUAGAGUUUUCGGUUCGGCCGGACGAAACACAGGUGCUGCAUGGCUGUCGUCAGCUCGUGUCGUGAGAUGUUGGGUUAAGUCCCGCAACGAGCGCAACCCUUGUCUUUAGUUGCUACGCAAGAGCACUCUAAAGAGACUGCCGGUGACAAACCGGAGGAAGGUGGGGAUGACGUCAAGUCCUCAUGGCCCUUAUGGGUAGGGCUUCACACGUCAUACAAUGGUGCAUACAGAGGGUUGCCAACCCGCGAGGGGGAGCUAAUCUCAGAAAAUGCAUCGUAGUCCGGAUCGUAGUCUGCAACUCGACUACGUGAAGCUGGAAUCGCUAGUAAUCGCGGAUCAGAAUGUCGCGGUGAAUACGUUCCCGGGUCUUGUACACACCGCCCGUCAUACCAUGGGAGUGGGUUUUGCCAGAAGCCGUUAGCCUAACCGCAAGGAGGGCGACUGCCACGGCAGGGUUCAUGACUGGGGUGAAGUCGUAACAAGGUAGCCG
rnacentral:rRNA from 1 species